rnacentral:rRNA from 1 species
AAACCAUUUUUCCCCCUAAGUCUAGGCGAUAAAAAAGGAAAUCCGGAGCAAUAGAAAAAGUACCGCAAGGGAAAGCUGAAAGAGAGAUGAAACAGCCCAGUUGAAGCUUAACAAAGCAGAGAUCAAAACUCGUACCUUUUGCAUCAUGAUUUAGCUAGAACCUUCAAGCAAAGAGAACUGGGAGUUUGAACCCCCGAAACUGGGUGAGCUACUCCAAGACAGCCUUUACUGUAGGGCAAACCCGUCUCUGUGGCAAAAGAGUGGGAAGAACUUUGAGUAGAAGUGACAGACUUACCGAACCCAGUAAUAGCUGGUUGCUCGUGAAUUGGAUAGAAGUUCAGCCCCCAACACUUUUUCCUUAGCCACAAUCACGGGUCACCCCGUAUUUAUUUUGGACAAAAAGAAAACUUGGGAGGUUAGUCAAAGGGGGUACAGCCCCUUUGAAACAAGAUACAACUUUUGCAGACGGAUAAAGAUCAUAUUUACCAAGGGUAAAUGUUCUAGUGGGCCUGAAAGCAGCCACCUUAAAUAACAGCGUUAAAGCUCAAACAUGAACCCCGCCCCCCAAUACCGAUACCACCUCUAAACCCCCUAACACCUAACGAGCCGCCCCAUGCGCACAUGGGGACGACCAUGCUAAUAUGAGUAAUAAGAGGGUAUUUAAAACUCUCUCCCUGCACGAGUGUAAGUCGGAUCGGACCUACCACCGAGCAUUAACGGCCCCAAUCAAAGAGGGCACUGGAAGUCUCCACCAACUGACUAGAAGAGCAUCCAGCAUACUCCCGUUACCCCUACACUGGUGUGCGUCCUGGGAAAGACUAACCGGGGAAGAAGGAACUCGGCAAAUAUACCUAAAGCCUCGCCUGUUUACCAAAAACAUCGCCUCUUGCAAACCGCAGUAUAAGAGGUCCUGCCUGCCCAGUGACAAAUUGUUCAACGGCCGCGGUAUUUUGACCGUGCUAAGGUAGCGUAAUCACUUGUCUUUUAAAUGAAGACCCGUAUGAAUGGCAAAACGAGGGCUUAACUGUCUCCUUUCCCAAGUCAAUGAAAUUGAUCUCCCCGUGCAGAAGCGGGGAUAACACCAUAAGACGAGAAGACCCUAUGGAGCUUUAGACAAACGACUGAACCGUAUUCCCUGGCCCCUUCUCACAGGAACUAAAUUUAAUGGACCCUCUUUCAAUGUCUUCGGUUGGGGCGACCAUGGGGAAAACAAAACCCCCAAGUGGAAUAGGGGUAACGAAAACGUCGAUUACACCCCUUAAGGUAGAGCGACAGCUCAACACAACAGAAAUUCUGACCAAAAUGAUCCGGACAUUCCGAUCAACGAACCAAGUUACCCUAGGGAUAACAGCGCAAU